GGAAGAUAUAUAUUUGUAUAUAUUUUUAAGGCAGAUAAAACUGAAAUUGAUGUCUCGUUAAGUAUGUCUGUUUCUAUUUCAGAGUAAACAUCCCAGAAUGCUUUGGGAAACCAGAAGACAUUGAUGGUGAAAUCUGAAUGGGCGCCUGCUGUUUGGUCUCACCAGGAGUUAAGCUUCUCUGGAGAACGUCUGCCUUCUCGGCUUUUGUCCAGAUUCAGAGCCAGCGGGCAUCGAGCAUGGUGCGUUUGGUCUUGGGUCCACGCCAGUGUGGCUUGCUUGUCAGUACGGAUUGUCAGCGUAGCUGUCAGCUAGAAAGGGUCAUCUGUGCUUGUGCGACGAAUCGGCGCUGUAGCCACAGGAUAUGGAGGUCUUUAGAGUCAACUGUCUGACACCGGAACACACAGCCCUGAGUUUCCUAGGCACUGCCAACGAGUCGCAGCCAAAGGGUCAAAGAGUGUGAACCAAGACUGGGACUGCUGUACCCCUCAAAGCCCAAGGUGCACAAUGUCCCCAAUGCAGCAAAUGUAAAUAUGCAGAAGCGCAAGUGACUUUUGAGAGCUGCCGUAAAUCUCAACAUGGAAGCCGUGACACAGUGGCUGACCGCCUCGUAAUCUCCAUUUGACGUAUGUGACACUCAUAUCCGACUCGGUUGUGAACAGCUGGCUCCACCGGCGAUGCAGGUCGGGCCUCUCGAUUGGAUGGUAUUAACUGGAUUGAGGCGGGGUCGCGGCCCGCCGGGGUCUGUGUUAAUUGCAGUGUGAGGAUACGUGAAGCUCUGAGAGCAAAUCAAAACCCGUCUUCCCCUCCAUACGUGCCUUGGCUGUGAUUUCACAUGUCUUUGGAUCUGUAUCUUUCGUCACAUGGUUUUUCCUGUUCUAAAUCAAUGACCGACUUCAUAGCGUAGUGAUUUGCCAAGCAGGCACUUGCAAGCCACGGAGGCCGAAUUGAUAAAUAAGAUUAUUCCGGAAUAAAAGUCCCAUAUUUUUUGCCCACAGACGGUUACAAAAAAGUAACAAAGUGAAACUAGUCACUUGACUGCUUUUUUCGGUAGCGAGACAUCUGCUUAGCUGUUUUGAAGACAUUUUUCAGUAACAGGCCACUUUUUUACCAGGGGAUGCAGCGUAGCGUGUCAAAACAUUGCAUUGCUGUUUUUCAUGUCUCAUUGUAUUGCACUUUCAGCUUUGCAGCCCGGUGAGCUGAGGGAAUAAUCAAACAUUCUGUCCAAAAAUCCGAUUCAUUUUACCGAACUGCUUCUUUCGGAUGCUUCAUAAUUCGAGUCUUUUUUUAGUUGUUGCAAAACAUUUUGUUACAUACUUCCGU